CGUGGUACGGAUCGUGAAAGGUAGAAGGACUUACUCUUUCGGAGUGAGAGCGUACACAGGUGCUGCAUGGCUGUCGUCAGCUCGUGUCGUGAGAUGUUGGGUUAAGUCCCGCAACGAGCGCAACCCUGCAUUCAGUUGCCAUCGGUAAGGCCGGGCACUCUGGAUGGACUGCCGGCGACAAGCCGGAGGAAGUGGGGACGACGUCAAGUCAUCAUGGCCCUUAUGUCCAGGGCGACACACGUGCUACAAUGGCCGGCACAACGGGAAGCGAAGGGGCGACCCUGAGCGGAUCCCACAAAAGCCGGUCUCAGUUCGGAUUGCAGUCUGCAACUCGACUGCAUGAAGUUGGAAUCGCUAGUAAUCGUGGAUCAGCCAAGCCGCGGUGAAUACGUUCCCGGGCCUU
rnacentral:rRNA from 1 species